rnacentral:lncRNA from 1 species
GCAUCUUCAAAAUCCUCUAUAAAUUUUACUUUUUUAAAUACAUAUUUGCUUACCUAUGUGGCAAAUAGAAUGUUGAAAAAAUAUGAUAUUCUCUAAAAAAACUCUUCAAAUAGAAAUAAGUUAAUACUAUAUUAAUCAAAUAAUACGAUAAAAAAUCAUCCGAGACUCUUCUUAAUAUUCUUAUUAUGGCAUAGCUCAAAGGUCGACCCUCACUUAAUACUAGAGGGGGAUCUACCCUCACUUUAAUAAUGAAGAAAAAUUGAUUCUACUCCAAAUAUGGGGAGACAAGUAAAACUCUACAUAAAACUUAUCCCAACAGUAAUCGAGUUUAGUCCCAGAUGUUGCUAGGACUCGAACCCAUUUGCCUAAUGUUAUUGGGCACAUGGGUUGCCAAUAGGCUACAAGCCUAUUGGUUAUUUUAUAGAAAACUUGCCGUUAUAGUGAAGUCAAAAGCACAUGAGGCUAAUAACGUCAUUUAACCCAAAAAAUAGCCCAAAAAGUUGAUGUAAUGGAAACUCCUAACUAAGGAUGGCAAUUGGUAGAGUAGAGUGGGGUUUGUUAACUUCACACCUACACUCGUGGAAAAAAUGAACAACCAACCUCGCACCAUGUCCAUUGUCGAUUUCAUUUGGGAAAAAAAAACACCCACUUAUUACGGGUUUAGCCAAUUACCAAACCACACUAAUACCCAACAGAUUUUUUUAUGGAUUCUUAAACUUAAAAAUAUACAUAUAAUUCAAACUAUAAAUUUAUAAAUUUAACGUAAGAAAUACACAUAAAAUACUCAAUUUUAAUUUUAUUCUAUGUAAAUGAGAAAUUAAAGUUUCCUAACUCAAGAUUUUUAAACUUUGAAUAAAAUUAGAGCGAAAGACGGUGAAGAACAAAUUUAAAAAUUGCAACCUUGAGAGAUUUCAAGGCUGAUUUGGUUAUAUAUUCUAGACUUACAUUAUAGGGGGUGUUAGGCAAAAACUAGAUACAAUACAUAUCAUUUAUUAUGUUUGGUUACUCAAUUGAUAAGAGCAAAGGCACCGAGUUAGGUUUAGGAAAUUACGAUUAGAUUAUAGUUGUGUAUUACAAUUAGGGUACUUUUCUAGGAUCAUAAUUUGAGUUAUAAGUGUCCAUUUUCGACAUAUAAUAUAUUUUUAUAAAGCUUGCGACGAUAUGAAUCUAACCUAGAACAAUUUUUACACUUCUGCCUCGGGGUCGAACCAGACAUUUAACUUCUUUCUUACUUGUUUUUCAAAUUUAAGAUUUUUUCUUAUUUUUUUUAUUAAUUUUUCUAGGAUUUUUAUGUUUUUUUUCUAUAACUCGAAUUUGGGUGCCGUUUGUUUUCCUCUUCUUAUUUUGAUUAGAAAAAUUUUAUUGUCAUAUUAUAUUUUGAUUUACCUAUUUUGGUAAAUCGUGAUAUUUAGGCUUGUUUUUACUUAUUCAAACUUUCAAUAAAAUUUAUCAUCAUUUAGAAAUCUAGUUUCUUCUAACAGCAAACUCAAUAAAAUUUCUGUUUCACCAUAGAUCUAAUAUUUUCUAUUUUUAAAUUAUAUUUUUAAAAUUUAAUAAUUUAAAAAAUAAUGAAUAAUAAUGCAGGUUAGCCGUUGCCUAUUUAUUUUCCCUCCUAAUCAAACUCGUCCACUACUCGCAUUUAUUAACAAAACCAUUCAUUACUCAUAAAAUUACUUACAAUGAACAUAUUUUAGUGGGCAUAUAAAUGCGUAUUUGUAGGUGUGUGGGUAAUAUUGCCAUCCCUGCUUGUAACGAGGUUAGAUAGAUGGGGAAGAAGGAAGAGAGAGAAAAAAAUUGAGAACAAAUUUUUUCUUUAAUUACGGCUUGUACAAUAAUCACAUAAGAACAUGAUCACUUACGUUUGGUGUAAGUCAAAUGUAUAACACAAAAGCAGUUAAAAUAAUUGAUUAAACGAAAAAUUCUAAUAGUGUCAACGAAAUAAGGAUGAACAGUUGUCCAAAGAUAGUCGGCAUGCAAUAUGAUUUUGAUUUGAUUUCAACAGUAUCUCAAUCCCAAAUAAAGCCAAACAUAUGUUGGGUCCAUCUCAUUGGGGGCCCAAGAGUCAAAAGCCUAAAAAGUCUUGCUUAAUGUGCAAUUAAAAUUAAGUUUUGGAAUUGGAUGAAAUUUACCAUGAAAUUUGGCGAAGACGUGAAAGACGAGGGAAAAAAAGAGAAGACCGUGGCGUGACAUUCAAUUUGGGGUCAAGUUUUCAAUCUUUGAUUGAACGAUUAGAAGGCGAAAUUAACUUUAUUUUCUCUUAAAUUUUGAGGGUAAGUUCAUGUCAUCGUCUUUUAUAAUUUCACUUAUUUUGAUUUUUAUUUUAUUUUCUCGUUGGUUAUUAUUUGAGAUACGCACUUGUUGGAGAGACAUAUAUUAUGUUGUUACUGUAACACAAGAAUAUUGAGAUUCUUGAUGUUACUAGCCUAUGGUAUUACUUAGGGAAGAAUUUGUAUUAUAAUCUCAUUAAUAUAGUAGAAGAUUUUAGGACUACGGUUCCGUGAUUUUUCCGCUUUGGGUUUUCCACGUAAAAAUUUGUGUCUUUUGUGGUUGAUUUUUAUUUUAGAUUGUGUUGGUUUAUUUUUCUACCUAUUUAUUUGUGGUACACAUCUUAUUUUAAUCACACAAACAAAGAAAAAGUUUUGGUUCCGCUUAAUUUACAGUUGAUUGUGUGAGUCUCUUUCCCAACAACUUACAAGAUUUCAAACUAUAUAUUAGUGUUGACAAGAUUGGGAGCUGAAUUUUUGCUCCGAACGCGUUGGAAGGCAAUUGUUCGAAGACAAAGUACGAAAGAGACAAAUCUUUAUUUCAUGAAUAUAAUUUAUAUAGUUACGUUUUUUAGAUAUUAUCAUAUAGAUAAUGGAAGGAUCGUCAACCAAUUAACGAGGCUUUCGCUGGCGUGACGCUUGGGUUAGGGAAAAAAAUUUCGGGACUUUGACUUCUCAUCCCCUCUCAUCAUUUGUUCAAUCUAGUCGGAGAAAAAAUCAUAACUAGAAAUAAAUGCAAUAAAUUGAUAGUUUAUGCCAAAUAAUAGAUUUUUUUUAUUAAAAAAAGUAUUUCCCCUUGUUCCUAAUAUGUAGGUACGUACACAUAAAAUUUGUGAUUUAAAACGUGAAACUAACUUAAAAUUUGAAACACAAAAUUACUAACAUGUAAUAACGUGUUAGUAACUUUAACUCAUCACAGCAAAUUAUUAAUCAUUUAAAGUAUAGUGGAGGACUCAUGAAACAUUUAAGUGCAUUAGCUUUUGAACACGUCUGUUUAGAGGAUGCUCACUUUCUCAUCUCUCCUCAAUCUUUAUAUGUGUACAUAGGGGUGGGCAUAGGUUGGUUUGGGUUGGAUUUUAAGUCAACCCAAAUCAAACCAUAAAAAUUUAGAUCCAACACAAACCAACCCAAAUAUUUUUAACCCAACUCAAACCAAACCAUUUGGGUUUGGUUUGAAUUUUAUUAUCAA